rnacentral:lncRNA from 1 species
GAAUAUGUUCAGUCUCGAAGACCUCGAGUUUUGCUUGCUCCCUCACAAUGGAAAGUAAGUUCGAUGGUGUUAUUUUGUGCCCCACAUAGUAGGAAGAACACGAAGUUGAUGAUAUGAUACUAAUGGCUCUGUUUGUGUUGGUCAGUUUUAGUUUUAGAUUAUGCAUGAAUUGCUGUAUGCACAGAAAAAAAAAAGGACAAGGUUUUAUGAGCAUUAUGAAUGGCCUGUUAAUAGUUACUCUAUAUUUCCGGAUAGAAUUCAUUACCUGUCACAAGCAUGAAUGAGUUGUGUUUCUUCCCGUUUGUUUAUUUCUUGCUUGUAAAUGGUUUGGAGCAGGCAGUUAUGGAGUAUAGCAGGCACCGACAGCCAACACACUCCCCA